GACAUAUAUAUACAUGUACGCACGUAUUCUUAUAGGCCCAUUUGCACUGAGGUUCCACGAGUGGGUCAUUGUGGCAUUACCUGCGGCAGUUGGUGAGCCUUUUGACGAUGCACAAGUUAAUUCUAUUAUUGAUAUGGCUGAGGCUCCUUCACCAAGUGGCACAAGCCAACUUUGGCCACUACAGAGUGCGUCUAACCCACUUUGGCCAAGAUAUUCCUGAUAACCAGGACCCAAUAGAUGCUAUUGACGCAACAACAUUAAUGGUGUUGUGACGACUAGUGUCUUAGGUUUUUUUUCUGCAGUGUAGACAAAUCACAAACAAAUGAGCUAGAAGCAUCAUCGACUCGAUCGCUACACCAUCGCAAGACCACGAGAUCCCUACAAGACUGGAGACCCUGUCUAGAUCUUCUGUCAUGUGUCCUUUUGGCAGUCAGAAUAAAACCGGCUUUUCACCGAAGAUUCUCGUUUCCAACAUUGAGGGAGCAAGAUCAAAAUCUGCAGAGCUUUCCUGUAUCUUAGGAGAGGAAAAUAUUGACAUCUUACUUGCAACUGAAACACACCUUAACCCGCAAGUAAACAGCUGCGAGAUUCUGCCUCAGGAUUUUCUUGUCUACCGUAAAGAUCGUCCUUCUCACAAAGGUGGAGUCCUGAUUGCGGUUAAAAACAACUUGGUCUCAAUACCACGCCCUGGUCUUGACUCGGACUGCGAAAUCGUAUGGUGUGAGGUGCUCCUGGACAAAGAAACAAACCUACUCUGCUCUUAUUAUCGUCAACAGUCCUUAGGCAUGAUUUCCCUUGAUGCCCUGGAUAAUUUUCUGAGCAAAGUCACGAAAUUAGCUGGAAACCGUCAUGUUAUCCUCACCGGGGACUUCAAUUUACCAUCUAUAGACUGGGCCACGUCUAGUGUCCCCCUGGUGCAAAAGAUGCAAACCUCUGCAGGUGUUUACUUGAUAUUGCUCAUGAUUUCCAUCUUGAGCAAUGGGUCCAUGAGCCUACAAGAUACGGCCCCACUUCUGCUAACACUCUGGAUCUGUGGUGAUCUGGAGCCGAGGGCACAAUACGAACAAAAUUUACCCUUGUUCUAAAAGUAUAGGCUGCCAACAAUAAAUUUAUUGAUUUCAAAA